CGUAUGGACAGAUGACAGAUCGGAGACAAUCUGUCCUUUUCUCUCGCCCCUCCCCCCUGAGCUCUGCUUCUUAAGCCGAUAAUCGCCAAAACAACUCGAGUAGUAAAAAAAAAAAAAACUCCCGACCAAACAAUCACUUUGCUUUGAAAGCUGUUGACUCGUGUCUGGUCACCUCUUCUCUUUCUUACUAUGUUCUUCCUCUUCCUUCUCUCCUCUUCCUCCACUUUGACCUCAUCUCUGUGUGACGCGGCCCACAGACACGAUAUCGAUCUUUUCUGGCCAAAGAGCUAUUUGAGCUAAAUGCCUGUAAAUGUUUGCAUGAGAUUCGUUUAUAAAACCUGAAAUGUUCCUUCUCUGGAAGUGAGAGCUUUUCUUCAGUCUUCAGCCAACAGACUAGAAUUAAAGUGGUUGUUCACCUUGUGCCGUCAUCACAACAAGUCCUCCCAUCACGCCGAGCACCCUCCAGUCAGUCGGCACCAAACAACACACCUGAGACUGAAACUGAACGAUCCUCCAAGUUGUUAACCCCCCCCCCCCGCCUUCUCCAAGAGCACAAACUUUCUCCUCUCUAAGAAUCAAUCCCCUUCCUGCUCACCGUCUAAUCUUUGUGUCUCUGCGGGACCGGAGCCCUCCAGACCAGAACCUGUCCUCCUUCAGCUCCUUUCAAUUACCGCCCAUGUGUGUGCACGGCGCUCGGAGAAGAGCCUUCAAUUACAACACAAAGGAGAGGAGACCCCCCCGGUCGGAGAGGUGAAGUCGAGCUGCUUCUCUCUGGUUUGGAGCCGAGCCGCCAGCCGAGAGGCUUUUAAAGAUCCCGUCGAUCGGUUUCUUUCUCCUGCUCCGUGGUUUGUAGACGUGAGGACUUGAGCUGUAAAAUCCCAGAGUUCAGUUUGUAGUUCACUUUAUGGAGAAGUCCUCCACUGGUCUGACACUUUGCACAGAGGAGAUACUGUGGAGGGCUGUGUAAUCAAUCAACCCAGAAAUACUCGAUUCCCGUCCUUCAAUGUUUUACAUGUUUGAAACAUUUUCAGAUUUAUCUCAAAAUGAAAAGUUAAACAAAAGAAACAGACAAAAACAAGUAAAUCAUCAACGUCACUUCGGUCUGAGAGAGUUUUCACUUUAAAAAGACGUGAGACAACUUCUCUCAGUAAACUGAACGUCGUGUGGGAAACUGGUGUCGUGGCUUUUAACUCAUUUAUAAAACAUUAGUCAACAACUAUCUCAUUUUAAAGGGAAAUAUUCACUAUAUUACUUAUUAUUAUAACGUGAAAACCCGCAGUUCAAAUAUGUUAAAUCCUACUUGAAACUAUAACUUUAGAAAGUUCACUGAGGAUGAAGAUGACGAUUCGAGUGGAGAACAAACGUCAAGUUAAAAAUGAAAAGACUUGAUUGCCUUUUCUUAAACUGCUCAUGGAACAGAAAACACAAACCUCUGAGCAAAACCCAAUGUGAAAGCUUCAGUUCACUUUUUCAUUUGUUUUGUUUGACUCGUCCCUCGUGUUUUUCAAUCAGAGCAGAAAAACACGUUUGUGUUCCUGUUCCCCGAGAAAAGCUUCUGUUGAUUUGUGUUUUCUUAUUUUGUGGAGUGGAACAGACUCCAGCUCCCGCUGAAUCAAUCUGUUGGAUUUGAUGUUUACAUUUAGGAAAAUUAAGUUUCAAAUGUUUUUUGUUCUCAUUUGAAUACAGACAAGUUCUCUUGAAUCUCAUCUGCUGUUAAAGUUCAGAACAAAAGUCAUCGAGCAUUUUCAUAACCCCUUGCUCUCCACGUCGUGUUGUUGUUUUUGAGACAGAGCUUCACAAGCCACUGCAGGAAAACCUCUUUGUACCCGAUGUCUUCGUUACCAUGUACAUAAUUUUAAAAUAAUAAAAAUUGCUACUUUCAGUA